CAAGCCAGUGAACGCUAGGAAUGUCAGGGUUUGACAGGCAAGGGGAGCCAAUCACGGGUUAGAAGUAGAAAAACAGUUUUGGUGAACUCACGUGGAUCCAGGCAGAGAGAUGUGAUUUCUGCGUUAUGUCCAGUUUGUGGGCGAAUUUAAGAAGAAGCCGGUGUGCACACACAAACAAAACAAUCCGCGUGGUAGUAAACGAUGCUAGCGGGGCUGGCAUGGGGCUCUCAUUUUUAGUUUUGGGGAUGAAGCGUGGGAGUCGUUACAUAACAGUGCAGCGUGAGUGGGGACAAAGCGAAAGCGGCAGCUUGCAGCCCCUCACGAGGGUUUUGUUUUUAUUAAUCACGGGGAGCACACCUGAGGAUGGCGCAGGUGCUGCGCGCUGCAGGGGGAAGUUUUAAUGAGGAACUCGGAGAGCUGCAGCUGCUUUCCGGUGUACUGCUGUGGCUUUUAUGUGGAAGGUGGAGCACAGCGCCUCCUAGUGACGCACUCGGAGAGUUAAUAAAAAUAAAUAAAAGUUUCCAGCUGUAAAAUAAAAUGGUGUGUGAGCAGACAUGUCAGGUGAUCACAGGUGUGCUGUGAUCUGCUGCAGACAAACAGGAAUUUCAAAAACAUGUUUUUCUGUUCCUGGAUUUUCCUGUAAGGGACUGUUUCAAGGUGAAAAUGGGACUAAAACACGGAGACUUUCACAGGACCAAGAUGCUAUGUAUAAAAAGAGCUCACACCAGAGACCUACAUAUGUGACCUCAGAGUUCCUGUUGUCGGCCUUUCGUGAAUCAUUUCCGUCCAUCCUGACAUGAAGGUGAACAUCAUCUGCAGUCCUAUUGUCUUCAUUCUUGGCUCUAAUGUCACUAAAGGUUUCAUCCAUGAAGCCGUUCAGGAGAAUCAGCAGGUCAUUCUGAGCUGCCGUCGCUCUGUAAGGGGCAAAGUGACGUGGAGCAGAGAGAGUGCUGGAAGGCGGGUCGGUGUACUUACAGCUUACGGUUCCUGGAACACGAAACACGAUGAUGGAUUUAAACAUUACAGUGUGUUUGCAGACAAGUCCCUGUACAUUCAGAGAGCUGCCGUCUCAGACUCGGGGACAGCUGACCGUGAUCCCAUCAGGUAACAUCAAACCCUUUUAUUGAGGACGUGUAAUUAUAAAAUGAGAAGGGGGAAAGAGUCCUUGUUGUGGUUUGUAUAUUCCAGCUGUGCAUUAUGCCUCCUUUAUCUCUGACAGGAUAGACCUAUGUAUCCUUGGAUGUUGCUCCUCCUCAUUCAUUUUAGGAAAUAAGACAUCCUUCAGCAUGAGGCAAAAAAGGGAAAUACACGAGGUGGCCGAGAAAAGCAGCGAGCGAAAUAAAACAGGAAGUGGAAACAAAGAAACUAACACGUGCAAAGAAUGGCUGGGGGCGAGUGGGGGAGGGUGUACUUUACUAUUCAGUUGUGAUACCAGAUGUUUUUGUUGCACAUCACAUAAUUCAUGUUGUGACUGCUGUUGUCUCCUGGUUCCACGGUCAUUCAAAAACACUUUGAUACCUCAAACUGCUGUUUCUGCCUCCUGACAAACUGUGGAGCUGGAAGGAAAAAGGCACCUCCACCACCCCAACUGCCCCCUCCUCCACCAUCCACACCUCCACCACCUCCACCUCCAGCUCCACCACUCUUACCAACUGAAUGGACAGCAACAGUGGUAACAAUGGUAACAACAACAACAGAACUGCCACCACCAGCUGCUGAUCAGCUGUGUCACAUGACUGUCCGCACACUGAUCGGACUGCUCUGCUUCAUCAUCAUGAUCAGCAUCCCUGCUGUUACCUGGAGGAAAGCUCGACGGGUAGAGAAACAGAGGAGAGACAGAGGAGCAGAAAGCGGCCCGUGAUCCUCCAUCACACAGAAACAACAGCCGUACAGACUGAACUGGGAUCAGAUCAUCGUCAUCCAGCCACACAGCAAACAGCCAGUCUGAACUUCAGAGUGACGACAGAUUCUUCAGCAUGUGAUCCAGACCUUCAGUACAUGUAAAGUCUUUGCUGCUCUGCCCUCUCAACGUCCUGCAGCUCAACAGUUUCUCAUUUCUUUGUCUUUGCUGUUUCUGGAGCUGUGCUGUAUUUAGUCAACAGGCAUUAAAAACACGUUAGAAGCUCA